rnacentral:rRNA from 1 species
AACGAUGAAGCCCAGCUUGCUGGGUGGAUUAGUGGCGAACGGGUGAGUAACACGUGAGUAACCUGCCCUUAACUCUGGGAUAAGCCUGGGAAACUGGGUCUAAUACCGGAUAGGAGCGUCCACCGCAUGGUGGGUGUUGGAAAGAUUUAUCGGUUUUGGAUGGACUCGCGGCCUAUCAGCUUGUUGGUGAGGUAAUGGCUCACCAAGGCGACGACGGGUAGCCGGCCUGAGAGGGUGACCGGCCACACUGGGACUGAGACACGGCCCAGACUCCUACGGGAGGCAGCAGUGGGGAAUAUUGCACAAUGGGCGCAAGCCUGAUGCAGCGACGCCGCGUGAGGGAUGACGGCCUUCGGGUUGUAAACCUCUUUCAGUAGGGAAGAAGCGAAAGUGACGGUACCUGCAGAAGAAGCACCGGCUAACUACGUGCCAGCAGCCGCGGUAAUACGUAGGGUGCGAGCGUUAUCCGGAAUUAUUGGGCGUAAAGAGCUCGUAGGCGGUUUGUCGCGUCUGUCGUGAAAGUCCGGGGCUUAACCCCGGAUCUGCGGUGGGUACGGGCAGACUAGAGUGCAGUAGGGGAGACUGGAAUUCCUGGUGUAGCGGUGGAAUGCGCAGAUAUCAGGAGGAACACCGAUGGCGAAGGCAGGUCUCUGGGCUGUAACUGACGCUGAGGAGCGAAAGCAUGGGGAGCGAACAGGAUUAGAUACCCUGGUAGUCCAU